rnacentral:misc_RNA from 1 species
AUUUUUUUGAGUUUUCUGUAAUUUUUUUCAAAAUUUUUGAAUCUCGUUUUGAGUCCAAAGACAGAGUAAGAAUCAAAUUUUGAGUCCUUUGAAUCGAAUUGGCUGAAUCAAACUAAAUCGAAUCAGAUUGAUCAAAUCAGACUAAUUUUCUUUUUUUCCCCUCCCUCUUCUCCCGUGCACACCACCUCCCUCUCUUCUUUUUCUUUUUUCUCUCUCUCCCCACCGCCGACCGACUACCCUCCCCUGCUCCGCCAGGCCGACAUCCCUCCAACCUACAUCCUCGUUGUUGG